GUGCCAGCCGCCGCGGUAAUACGUAGGGUGCGAGCGUUAAUCGGAAUUAUUGGGCGUAAAGGGUGCGUAGGCGGGUAUACAAGUUAGGUGUGAAAUGCCUGGGCUUAACCUAGGAUGUGCAUUUAAGACUGUAAGCCUAGAGGGUAUGAGAGGUGGGUAGAAUUCCAAGUGUAGCAGUGAAAUGCGUAGAGAUUUGGAGGAAUAUCAAAGGCGAAGGCAGCCCACUGGUAUACAACUGACGCUGAGGCACGAAAGCGUGGGUAGCGAACAGGAUUAGAUACCCUGGUAGUCCACGCCCUAAACGAUGUUUACUUGCCGUUUGGUCGAUAAAGGCUGGGUGGCGAAGCUAACGCGAGAAGUAAACCGCCUGGGGAGUACGGUCGCAAGAUUAAA
rnacentral:rRNA from 1 species